GUUCUUGAAACUACAGAAGACCUUGAGCACACAAUCAUGGCUUGUAGUGCAUGAAAAACUCUGCAGAAGUAACUGGUGCAAGACAGCUAAGGAAAACACGCUAAGGGUCUAGGCCUAUGAACGUUUUUAGUCUUCCAUGGUGCUCAAGCAUAUGCAUAAAGCCUCCUGAGAAACUCAAGUAUAGAAUAGAGCAACUCUUAUGAAAACCUGGGAUGAUGCAGUUCAAAGGCUCAGACAAAGAAAAAUCAGUACCUUGUGUACAGGAUUUCUAUUUUCUUUUCAUAUUUUUUAAGGAUGUAAUAUUUCUUUUCUUCACUUACUGUGUUUUCAAGCACUACCACCAAGAGGUCUCUAAACUAUUUCCCUUUUCCUGGCACAGCAACAGCUUUUGAAAAAUGAUGAUUCUAGAGAUCCCUUCUGACCGUAGUUAUUCUAUGACUCAAAGUGAUGUGGAGUACUCAGCUCACAGCGCUUUUAACUAAACAAUUUUCAAAGACGAAUGCAGAGAAAAAUCAAUGACUCCUCAGGACUGUUGAGUUGGAGGUAUGCAAAAGCACUAUCUACUUCUGAAUGUGCCACAACAGGAUUUUUCACCUGCAUCAUAAAGUCAUGGAACUUGUUUUCUUUGGUCAAAACCAGCAAGCCCCAUUAUGAGCCCUAAAUAACUACACUUUAAUGUUCAGCAAAUACAGUUCUGACUAAUUUGGUGACCUGUAAGUGCAAUGUGAACUCAGGUCAAAUUAGUGACCAACAUAUUUUUUUUCUGAAGAGAGCAUAAAAUUCAAUAGGCAUAUGGUUAAUGCAUGCAUUCAUACAACAGUAAUUUCCCUAAUAAGUUUGCAUCACAGAAGCUAGUAAUUACAUUAUGCAACAUUUUCAAAACUUGUUCCGCACAUUCAUGAUUAACCACAUCACUAUGUGCAUGUGUCUAUAAUUUUGCUCUCUGAGCUGUGGCUCCUCGUGGGAACUACUGUUCUUGCAUCAGCAUUUGUCACUCAUGGUGAAGUUAGAGGAAUCUGAUUCAUGAGCGGAAUCUUGCACAGGAGCUGUUCUCAGUGCCCUGCUUUUCACCUCAGGCUUCUAGAGUCUGUGAGUUUACCAGCUGGAAGGUGACAAUCCCAAACAAGAAGCCAAUUAAGAUGAAAGCAGCAGUUACAGAGUCCUCCAAAUCCGUGGCCCCAAAAGCUGUGCUUAACUGCAACCAGGACACCUUCCCACUGACAGUUUCCCUGUGCAUUGCUGCUGCUGUGUCAUGACAGCCAAUUACUCCAAUUCGUCAAUGCCAGCAAGAAGCCUCUUGUCUUUA
rnacentral:lncRNA from 1 species